GUGGGGUGAUGGCCUACCAAGGCGACGAACCGGUAGCCGGCCUGAGAGGGCGACCGGCCACACUGGGACUGAGACACGGCCCAGACUCCUACGGGAGGCAGCAGUGGGGAAUAUUGCGCAAUGGGCGAAAGCCUGACGCAGCGACGCCGCGUGAGGGAUGACGGCCUUCGGGUUGUAAACCUCUUUCAGCAGGGACGAAGCGAAAGUGACGGUACCUGCAGAAGAAGCACCGGCCAACUACGUGCCAGCAGCCGCGGUAAUACGUAGGGUGCAAGCGUUGUCCGGAAUUAUUGGGCGUAAAGAGCUCGUAGGCGGCUUGUCGCGUCGGCUGUGAAAACCCGGGGCUCAACCCCGGGCCUGCAGUCGAUACGGGCAGGCUAGAGUCCGGCAGGGGAGACUGGAAUUCCUGGUGUAGCGGUGAAAUGCGCAGAUAUCAGGAGGAACACCGGUGGCGAAGGCGGGUCUCUGGGCCGGAACUGACGCUAAGGAGCGAAAGCGUGGGGAGCGAACAGGAUUAGAUACCCUGGUAGUCCACGCCGUAAACGUUGGGCGCUAGGUGUGGGGGACCUUCCACGGCCUCCGUGCCGCAGCUAACGC
rnacentral:rRNA from 1 species